rnacentral:rRNA from 1 species
GAUGAACGCUGGCGGCGUGCUUAACACAUGCAAGUCGAACGGUGAAGCCAAGCUUGCUUGGUGGAUCAGUGGCGAACGGGUGAGUAACACGUGAGCAACCUGCCCUGGACUCUGGGAUAAGCGCUGGAAACGGCGUCUAAUACUGGAUAUGAGCCUUCAUCGCAUGGUGGGGGUUGGAAAGAUUUUUUGGUCUGGGAUGGGCUCGCGGCCUAUCAGCUUGUUGGUGAGGUAAUGGCUCACCAAGGCGUCGACGGGUAGCCGGCCUGAGAGGGUGACCGGCCACACUGGGACUGAGACACGGCCCAGACUCCUACGGGAGGCAGCAGUGGGGAAUAUUGCACAAUGGGCGAAAGCCUGAUGCAGCAACGCCGCGUGAGGGAUGACGGCCUUCGGGUUGUAAACCUCUUUUAGCAGGGAAGAAGCGAAAGUGACGGUACCUGCAGAAAAAGCGCCGGCUAACUACGUGCCAGCAGCCGCCGUAA